AAGCUGCUAUGCUAUGCUAUGCAAAGCAAAAUGAAUGAGGAUUCAAGGCUGAAGUUCCAAACUAAUGAUAUCACAAUUGAAGUGUGCUUUGAAGCUGCAUAUAGUUAUAGAAAUCUUAAUCACACAAUUCAAUCUUGUUUUCAGUAUUCACUUUUCAAUAUAGAUGAUUUUUUUAUUUCUUUCUUGUUAUUGGAUUUUAAAGAAUCAAUGCGUCAGAAAUUUUGCAAUUUGAGGCUGAUCCUUUUCUUAUAUUUAUUUUUUACGAUGGUUGAGGCUUUCUUUUUUUUAAGGUGGACAAAUGACAACAGUUGAGGUUGAUUGUUACCAAAUAUGAUAUUGAUGUAAAUAAGAUGAUACUAUGGAUGUAGGCUCCUUGGCUUCCAUUUUAUAGUCAGUUAAAAGUUAGUUAUGUUAGUUAUUAAUUGGUCCUUUGUAUUCAUUAGUAUUGAUCAAUUCAUCAAGAUAUCAAUAAUUUGUACAUUAUCCUUCUAUACUCUAUACUUUUCUGUCAUUUAUUAAAUUUAAAUGCUAAUAGUAUGAAGGUGCUUGCUUACUUGAGUGAUGGCAAAGGAUUGAGCAACUGGGAUGUCUUCACUCACAAACCAGGUAGUACUGAGGAUGGAAGUAAUGGUGAUGUUUCUGUUGAUCAGUACCAUCGUCCAUCGGUAUCAGGAGGAUGGAGAUUUAAUGGAAGGCGGAGAAAUUGGCAUCGUCGUACACUGUGAGUUCUGGUUAGAGCUGUGAAGCAAUUCCACAGCAGAUCAAUUAGCUGCUGAAAGAGCACAAUCAUUCAGCAUGAACUAGUAGAAUUUCCUCAGUGUUCAAUGUUCAUGGCUCAUUCACGUAGCACGCAUUCACUGAUUUGAACUGUCGUAUGUGAAGAUUGACGUAGCACGCAUUUUGACGGGGAGCGUUGGAAUUGGACUUUCUCAUGGCGGAGGGCUUUAUUCCUUUGGGAGGAGGAACUUGUAGUGCGUUUUAGAGAUCUCUUGGCAACGGUGAAUUUAUUAAUGGAGGAUGAUGGUUGGAAAUGGUUCCGGAUCCGGAAGGGGUGUUUUCGGUAAAAUCUACCUAUCUUCACCUUGUUGAUGAACUUCGGUCCGGGGAGGUGUUGGAAGAUGGUAAGGCGAUGAUUUUUGAUCAUAUUUGGGAUAGUCCGGCUCCGUCUAAGGUUAUUGCCUUCUCUUGGCAACUUCUUCAUGAUCGGAUUCCAACUAGAAGUAAUCUUGCGGUUCGGGGAAUUUUAGUUGCGGAUGUUCCUUGGGAGUGUGUGGGGUGUGUGGGAAGUGUCGAAUCAUCCAUUCAUCUCUUUUUGCACUGUCCUAGUGCUUUGAAGGUGUGGUAUGAUAUUUUUAGGUGGCUUGGAUUAGUGAUUGUGAUCCCUCCUUCGUUAUUUUUGCUUUUUGAGGUGUUGAGGGCGUCGGCGAGGAAUGUCAAGAUCCGUAAAGGAUUUUUGUUGAUUUGGCAUGCUACAAUUUGGUCCCUUUGGAAGGCGCGGAAUGGCUCUAUCUUCGCGAACGAAUCUUUUGCCCCUAAUGAUAUUGUGGAGGAGAUAAAGGUCAUGAGCUGGAAAUGGAGUUUAGCGAGAUUAAAAGUGCCUCCAUGUAUGUAUUAUGAAUGGACAUGGGAUCCCGGAGAUUGCUUACUGCGCUAGUUUUCCUUUUGGUGGUUUUUUGGUGCUGUUUUUUGUUGCUGUGUUGUGCUGCUG